ACAAUUCCCUGCUACCUGAAGUGCUCUAGUGGCUUUAGUUACAAUUCUCUUCAUGGUUAUAUUUAUGUGGCAGGAAGCAGCCGUUGCGAGUCUAUAGUAUGGUAAAGAGGCGUUACAAUAAAGACUAGCUACCAUGAGAAGAUAUGGGGCCAUCAUGCUGGUGUUAUUAUUGUACAAGCAGUGGAAAGUGUCAUUACAGAUGCCAUAUGUCUGUCUCUUGGAUUUCUCCAAGAAAGUGUACUUUGAAGGUCCCAAUUGGGGAAUAAUUGGAAAAUUAUUGGAGUUAUCUAUGCCCCAGUAGGGAUUCUUCUAGCCUAUAAAAUCUUUUGCCUACACAUGAUUACCUCGGCUGACUAGUGCGUUCGUGAUUGAAAGGAUCAUUGUAACCAUAAGGAGAAACUUUGACGACAAUCGUCGAUCAUCUCUUGCCACCAUCUCCGAUGACUACUGCUAGUCAACUUUUAACCAUCACCUUUGAUGAUGUUGUCGACCAACCUCCAAAUACAACUUUUGGUAAUCAGUUUUGGCAAAUGAAAAUUUUCUUUACAGUAAUUUGACAUUAAUAAAAAUAUUUUAAAUAUCUAACAAAUCAAACAAGCUUGUUUAUAAAUUAUUAUUUUUUUUAAGAAAAAGGUUGCCAAAUAGAUAAGUUUUUAUUUUAGGGGUUUGUACAUAAAGUGUCACGUCCCACCCUGCAACCAUGAAAGACGCAAUAUGACCUUAAGUAUUUCUGAUGCGUUAAACACCAAAAGCUCAACUUUAGGUCUUUAAGUAAUUUUACUUAUACGCUUGAUGACUUCACACUUAAACUUAAAUUCACACUUUAGAUGAUAAUGCAAUUAGUACAUCAAAAUAAUAUAAACUAUUCCUUUAUUAACCUUAAA